rnacentral:rRNA from 1 species
UCCGGUUGAUGGUGCCGGAGACCACUGCUAUCGGGGUCCGCCUAAGCCAUGCGAGUCGACUGCUCUUUGUUCCUCCUCUGGAGGAACAGAGGGCAGGGCGAACUGCUCAGUAACGCGUGGGUAAUCUACCCUCGGGUUGGGGAUAACCCCGGGAAACUGGGAAUAAUACCCAAUAGGUGGAAAGGUCUGGAAGGAUCCUCCACCGAAAGGAGCCCCGUGCUCCGCCCGAGGAUGAGCCUGCGGCCGAUUAGGUAGUUGGUGGGGUAACGGCCCACCAAGCUUAAGAUCGGUACCGGCUGUGAGAGCAGGAGCCGGGAGAUGGACUCUGAGACAUGAGUCCAGGCCCUACGGGGCGCAGCAGGCGCGAAAACUCCGCAAUGCGCGAAAGCGUGACGGGGGGACCCCAAGUGCCCUUGCUUCGGCAAGGGCUUUUCCGGAGUGUAAAAAGCUCCGGGAAUAAGGGCUGGGUAAGACCGGUGCCAGCCGCCGCGGUAACACCGGCAGCUCGAGUGGUGGUCACUUUUAUUGGGCCUAAAGCGUCCGUAGCCGGUCUGGCAAGUCUCUGGGUAAAUCCACACGCUCAACGUGUGGCCUCCCAGAGAUACUGCCAGACUUGGGGCCGGGAGACGCGGAGGGUACUCCGGGGGUAGCGGUGAAAUGCUGUAAUCCCCGGGGGACCGCCGGUGGCGAAGGCGCUCCGCGAGAACGGGCCCGACGGUGAGGGACGAAAGCCAGGGGAGCGAACGGGAUUAGAUACCCCGGUAGUCCUGGCCGUAAACCCUGCCCGCUAGGUGUUGCGCGCUCUUAGGGGGUGCGCAGUGCCGGAGCGAAGGCGAUAAGCGGGCCGCCUGGGAAGUACGCCCGCAAGGGUGAAACUUAAACCAAUUGGCGGGGGAGCACCACAAGGGGUGAAGUCUGCGUGGCCAUAGAGAGUGAUAGCCUCGUAGGCGAAAGGGUAGCAGACUUCCUGAGUAAGGUUCCCAAGUACUGUGGGACA